GAGAAGUSCCUUCGACGAGUCNWRUUGUUUGGGAAUGCAGCUCAAAAUGGGUGGUAAAUUCCAUCUAAAGCUAAAUACCGGCCAGAGACCGAUAGCGCACAAGUAGAGUGAUCGAAAGAUGAAAAGCACUUUGAAAAGAGAGUCAAACAGUAUGUGAAAUUGUUGAAAGGGAAGCGCUGGCAACCAGACGUGCCCGCGGGCGAUCACCCGGCCUUCGGGUCGGCGCACUCGCCCGCGAUCAGGCCAGCAUCGGUUUCGGCGGCCGGACAAAGGCGCGCGGGAACGUAGCUUCCUCCGGGGAGUGUUAUAGCCCGUGCCGCAAUGCGGCCCGCCGGGACCGAGGACCGCGCUUCGGCUAGGAUGCUGGCGUAAUGGUUGUCAGCGACCCGUCUUGAAACACGGACCAAGGAGUCUAACAUCCAUGCGAGUGUUUGGGCGUCAAACCCAUGCGCGGAAUGAAAGUGAACGGAGGUGGGAGCCUCGGCGCACCAUCGACCGAUCCUGAUGUCUUCGGAUGGAUUUGAGUAUGAGCAUGGCUGUUGGGACCCGAAAGAUGGUGAACUAUACGUGAAUAGGGUGAAGCCAGAGGAAACUCUGGUGGAGGCUCGCAGCGGUUCUGACGUGCAAAUCGAUCGUCAAAUUUGCGUAUAGGGGCGAAAGACUAAUCGAACCAUCUAGUAGCUGGUUCUUGCCGAAGUUUCCCUCAGGAUAGCAGUAACGUUUUCAGUUUUAUGAGGUAAAGCGAAUGAUUAGAGGCCUUGGGGUUGAAACAACCUUAACCUAUUCUCAAACUUUAAAUAUGUAAGAAGUCCUUGUUACUUUGUUGAACGUGGACAUUCGAAUGUACCGUUACUAGUGGGCCAUUUUUGGUAAGCAGAACUGGCGAUGCGGGAUGAACCGAACGCGAGGUUAAGGUGCCGGAGUGGACGCUCAUCAGACACCACAAAAGGUGUUAGUUCAUCUAGACAGCCGGACGGUGGCCACGGAAGUCGGAAUCCDHUAAGGAGUGGUUGCACGCUCCUCACAGCAGGACUCGAUACGCAGUCCUUCUAGAUUGUUCGGCGGGGGGUACCACAGAUUUUGUGGUUGUCCUAAGCCGAGCGCAUCGAUCACCCUAAAAUCGCGUCAACGUUCUCUUGGUUGCAAGAGCCCAUCGCGAGCCCCGUCGCCUGCGGGCGACGGGGUGUACAGACUAUACAGGCUGGGUUCUGGGAGGCCAGGACCUUGACAUAGUCGUGACUCCGCC
rnacentral:rRNA from 1 species